UUAGAGUUUGAUCCUGGCUCAGGAUGAACGCUGGCGGCGUGCCUAAUACAUGCAAGUCGAGCGAACUGAUUAGAAGCUUGCUUCUAUGACGUUAGCGGCGGACGGGUGAGUAACACGUGGGCAACCUGCCUGUAAGACUGGGAUAACUCCGGGAAACCGGAGCUAAUACCGGAUAACAUUUUUUCUUGCAUAAGAGAAAAUUGAAAGAUGGUUUCGGCUAUCACUUACAGAUGGGCCCGCGGUGCAUUAGCUAGUUGGUGAGGUAACGGCUCACCAAGGCAACGAUGCAUAGCCGACCUGAGAGGGUGAUCGGCCACACUGGGACUGAGACACGGCCCAGACUCCUACGGGAGGCAGCAGUAGGGAAUCUUCCGCAAUGGACGAAAGUCUGACGGAGCAACGCCGCGUGAGUGAUGAAGGCUUUCGGGUCGUAAAACUCUGUUGUUAGGGAAGAACAAGUACAAGAGUAACUGCUUGUACCUUGACGGUACCUAACCAGAAAGCCACGGCUAACUACGUGCCAGCAGCCGCGGUAAUACGUAGGUGGCAAGCGUUAUCCGGAAUUAUUGGGCGUAAAGCGCGCGCAGGCGGUUUCUUAAGUCUGAUGUGAAAGCCCACGGCUCAACCGUGGAGGGUCAUUGGAAACUGGGGAACUUGAGUGCAGAAGAGAAAAGCGGAAUUCCACGUGUAGCGGUGAAAUGCGUAGAGAUGUGGAGGAACACCAGUGGCGAAGGCGGCUUUUUGGUCUGUAACUGACGCUGAGGCGCGAAAGCGUGGGAGCAACCAGAU
rnacentral:rRNA from 1 species